GACCAACUCAAACUUUACACUGCAAUAACUCUUCAAGACACCCUCGCCCUAAAUUAUAGCAGCUUUUGAUAACCCAAAAAGUGAGAGAAUUGUCUUAGACCAAUCAGAACAGAAUAUGAUCGUACGAUUGUACAGCUAGGGAAUGGAAAGCCUAUAGCAGUGGCCACCGGCAUGCAGCUUCCCAGAGCUUAAUUCAUUAUUAGAUAAAACCUCUUGGCGAACGCUCAUAAUUUUUGACGCUGCCCAAUUAAACAUCAUAUGCACGUGGAGAUAUAAUUUAAUUAUAUAUAUUCAAUCCAAUAAAAACAAGAGUGGGAUAUUCAAAUAAAUUUCUGUGUGUGAUUUGUGCGAAGUGGAAAAGGGAUUCGACCCAAGGCUUAAGGAAGGCCAAGGCCUAUAUAAGGGCAUUUGCUCUACAGCCGACUUUCCCCCCCGUCUCGUCGACCCCCGCAUCAGUUCAUUAUUUAAGCCCAGUUCGUUUCAAGAAGAGGCCAAAAGGCCGACAUAACCUUCAGCCAAAAAGUUACGCAACCGGCCACUCGCCGAAUGGUAACUGGCCAAUGGAUUGGAAGGCUAGAGCUCAUCCAGAUUAUUCAGCUGUACAGAAGCUUAGACGGGCGGAUCCGAUUUAAUUAUAUUUGGACAUCAUCAACAUUAUACAAUUGACGGAACUUUUGGCAUUUGAAUAGGAAUUUAAAUUAGCACCUUUAAAAUUUGACCUACAGCUCGACAAU